GGGGCAGGGUCAUAAGAGGCAGCAGAGGUGUAGGGAUGGAGACAGCCCUGGGACUCUGGCCAUCCAUCACAUUCACUGUAGUCAUCUCCCUUCUUGACAGACUCCCUGGAGAGAACAGAAGGCUGAUAAUGGAUGUCUGAGAGGUGAGAAAGGUCCAGAAAUUUACCCAAAGGCCACUCUGAGGAUCAGUUGGCAGAAAAUUGGUCAGGAAACACAAGCCACAGACUGCUAAAUCUAGUCCCCAAAGAAAGAAAAGAUCCCUGCUCAUCACUCCAGUACCAUAGCUUUCCAUUCUGAGUAAAACUGAAACUAUCACAUCCCACUCAUACUUUCUGGAAGCUCCUUGAACAUUUCCCUGGGAUUGAGAGGAAUCUUGGAGAGAAGACUAAAGAGGAGUGUCAAAAGGGCCUUGGGAAACAUCUUCCUGUAUUACGAGGAGAGAUGAAGAGGCCAAAGGCCUGCUAAUGAAUGUCUUAGAGGGGAGAGACGUCAGAAAUUUAUCCAAAGGCUACCCUGAGACUCACUUUUCAGAAAAUACAUCAGGAAACAAAAGGGACAGAUGGCGGAAUCCACUCCCAAGGGAAAGAAAUUAUCUGUGCAGGUCAUUCCAGAACCAUGCCAUUACAUUUGGAGCCUGAAGACAAAGAUGAGGCCUGAAGCAGGAGUCCAGUGCAGUUAUUUGUAAACAUGGGGCCAGGGAUAUGAGAGAGCAUCCUCCCAGGAAGGCUAAAGGCCCUUCUUAAUAGGCCCACCCUUAUUCCUACAAAUACUCUAGUUAACAGAAAUCUAAAAGAAAGCACAAAGCAGAAGGUGUCUCCACUCCAACCUGACAUCUUCCAACCUGCUACCAUGGAUCCAACAAAUGUUGCAGUGCAGCAUGGGAUACUCCCACAUAAACCCCACCCAGCCCCUCAGCCAGCCACACACCCAGAGAAGACACUGCCAUGCUCACAUGCAAAUUCUUGUUCCCCCAAAUCACUUCAUAAAAUGUUGUCAUCCCCAUCCAUUGGCAGUUACGGUGGCAGAAGCCCAAAGGCGGCCCACAGAGGCACUUUCAGAUACACAUGCCUGACUGAGGCAGAAGAGUCAUGGCAACCCAAGGCAACACAGGCUGGCAAUAUUCAUUCCUAUGGAAUGCGAUGGUGGAAGAGUCAGACAUCUCUCCUCGACAAGUCUGUGAUGUUCUACCAGCCAGAGGGAGAGCGCUUAUCCCCCAACAUGCACAGAUCAUGGAUAUCUCUCACUGACCUUGUCUCUCUGCUUCCACAAAGACUGAAGAAGAGCAAGAAUUAAGAAGCAGGAGCCCAAUUCAAUGUAGCAUUGGGGCUCAGAGUAUAGGGAACAGCUUUCCCUGGAGGGCAAUAAAUACUUCAUCACCACCCAAA